rnacentral:rRNA from 1 species
GUCGAGCGGUAGAGAGGUGCUUGCACCUCUUGAGAGCGGCGGACGGGUGAGUAAAGCCUAGGAAUCUGCCUGGUAGUGGGGGAUAACGCUCGGAAACGGACGCUAAUACCGCAUACGUCCUACGGGAGAAAGCAGGGGACCUUCGGGCCUUGCGCUAUCAGAUGAGCCUAGGUCGGAUUAGCUAGUUGGUGAGGUAAUGGCUCACCAAGGCGACGAUCCGUAACUGGUCUGAGAGGAUGAUCAGUCACACUGGAACUGAGACACGGUCCAGACUCCUACGGGAGGCAGCAGUGGGGAAUAUUGGACAAUGGGCGAAAGCCUGAUCCAGCCAUGCCGCGUGUGUGAAGAAGGUCUUCGGAUUGUAAAGCACUUUAAGUUGGGAGGAAGGGCAUUAACCUAAUACGUUAGUGUUUUGACGUUACCGACAGAAUAAGCACCGGCUAACUCUGUGCCAGCAGCCGCGGUAAUACAGAGGGUGCAAGCGUUAAUCGGAAUUACUGGGCGUAAAGCGCGCGUAGGUGGUUCGUUAAGUUGGAUGUGAAAUCCCCGGGCUCAACCUGGGAACUGCAUUCAAAACUGUCGAGCUAGAGUAUG